rnacentral:piRNA from 1 species
UGCGAAAGUUCUGUGAAUUUU